UUAAGUUCAGCGGGUAUCCCUACCUGAUCCGAGGUCAACCUAUAAAAAAAGGGGUGGUUGCUGGCAGGCAAACACCCAAACUCUAUAGCGAGAAAGUUUUACUACGCUAGGAGCCAGGUGGCACCGCCACUGAUUUUGAGGCGCACCACAAGAGUGACGCCCAAUACCAAGCAGAGCUUGAGGGUUGUAAUGACGCUCGA
rnacentral:misc_RNA from 1 species